UUUCCAGAGAUUCCGGCGACCCAAAGCUUAAAGUUACCGACUUUAUCGCUAAUCACAGAUUCUAGACCGAAGCGAGAUGAAGAGAGGAACGGAAGAUUAUCUGGGUUUCGACUCUUUUCCAGAAAGAGAUCAUCUUUCGAUGUGGGUUUCACCGAUUUAGUGUUUUCCGAAGAGAAUGUGAAUCAUUACAUUCAUCGAGUUGGUCUUCUCUGCUCACGGAGUGGCUACAGUCUUCAAACGGCAUGCGACUCGUUAAAAGGAUUCACGCGAUGUCAUUGAAGUGUUUAGACGAUCAAUCAAGUGAGAAUUGAUGAUUUGGUUUAUGCACGUAAAGUGUUCGACAGUAUGCCUGAGAGAAACACAGUUACUUAGACUGCGAUGAUUAAUGGGUAUUUAAAUAGGAGAUCAGAGUUUCAGCUUGGGAGACAGAGUGGAGAAUCUCAUUGGAGAGAGUUCUCUUGUUUAUUUCUACCCUCAGUGUGGUGAGUUGACUAGUGCGUUAUGAGCUUUUCAUAUGAUGGAGGGGAAAGAUGUGAUAUCUUGGACAGCUGUUAUAUCUGCUUGUUCGAGAAAAGGGCAUGGUAAUAAAGCUAUAAUUAUGUUUAUCGAAAUGUUGGAUCAUGGGUUCUUGGAAGGCCAUGAUAAUAUGGGUUAGGCAAGGAAUGGGUUUUGCAGGGAAAUAAUUGAAGCUAAUGUAUAGAAUGGAGGCAGAAAGAUUUAAAGUUGAUGAUUAUAUAUUUGCAAAUUGCAACGAUUGUAAUCUACUUGUGGAGAUAUUGACCUAGAUGAAGUUGAAUCUUCUGCAACACCUUGUUACUUGGAGACCUCUUUGAUUUUUCUUCUCUAUAUGACAAAGUUCCUAAAAAGAAUGCGUUCUAGAAUAGCAUCAAAUGUGAAAGAAAUAAUAUUUUGUAAGAUAGUGUAGUUACCAAGUUCGUCUAUCUGGUUGAGACCAUUUUAUGUUCUAAACAUCUUCAUUGCUUAA